GGGUGAGCGGAGCCCUGCACUGGGGCUCGUAGUCUCCCUCAGCCUCUCUCAGCCAUGGGCGCCGUCUGGUCAGCCCUGCUGGUCGGCGGGGGUCUAGCUGGAGCGCUCAUCCUGUGGCUGCUGCGGGGAGACUCUGGGGCCCCGGGGAAAGACGGGGUUGCGGAGCCGCCGCAGAAGGGCGCACCUCCUGGGGAGGCUGCGGCCCCGGGAGACGGUCCGGGUGGUGGUGGCAGUGGCGGCCUGAGCCCUGAACCUUCCGAUCGGGAGCUGGUCUCCAAAGCAGGAGCCAAGUGACUUAACUUUGGAUACCUGCCAACAUGGUCUGGACUGUGGGAGACUUUGCAACUUGCCACUUCAUUCUCUCUCAUGGUGUGUGCUGAGACUCCCCAAGUGUGCUUUUGAUCGUUGGCUCUACAUGUGUGCUCUUAGAGCAGUGUUGGGAAUGUUCAAAUAGGUACUUGCUUUUUUUAAAACAGAGCCUUGAACUGUACAUAGAAAUAAAGACAAGAGC
rnacentral:lncRNA from 1 species